rnacentral:pre_miRNA from 1 species
GUAAUACCAUGAGUUCCCUGCAAGCACUUCAUGAGGCCUAAUUCUAAGGGCUACUGUGAAGUGUUUGGGGGAACUCUUGGUGUUAC